rnacentral:rRNA from 1 species
UACGAAGGGGGCUAGCGUUGCUCGGAAUCACUGGGCGUAAAGGGUGCGUAGGCGGGUCUUUUAAGUCAGGGGUGAAAUCCUGGAGCUCAACUCCAGAACUGCCUUUGAUACUGAAGAUCUUGAGUCCGGGAGAGGUGAGUGGAACUGCGAGUGUAGAGGUGAAAUUCGUAGAUAUUCGCAAGAACACCAGUGGCGAAGGCGGCUCACUGGCCCGAUACUGACGCUGAGGCACGAAAGCGUGGGGAGCAAACAGG